GGUCCCAUAGUGUAGCGGUUAUCACAUCGGAUUCUGACUUUGCAGCACAAUUCCGGUAACCCAGGUUCGAUUCCUGGUAGGACCU